rnacentral:tRNA from 1 species
GGUGUCGUGGUGUAGUUGGUUAUCACGUCAGUCUAACACACUGUAGGUCUCCGGUUUGAGUCCGGGCGACGCCA